rnacentral:rRNA from 1 species
GCAAGCGUUGUUCGGAAUUACUGGGCGUAAAGAGCUCGUAGGCGGCCAACCAAGUCGGAUGUGAAAUCCCCAGGCUCAACCUGGGAACUGCGUCCGAUACUGGAUGGCUUGAAUCCGGGAGAGGGAUGCAGAAUUCCAGGUGUAGCGGUGAAAUGCGUAGGUAUCUGGAGGAAUACCGGUGGCGAAGGCGGCAUCCUGGGCCGGCAUUGACGCUGAGGAGCGAAAGCCAGGGGAGCAAACGGG